rnacentral:rRNA from 1 species
UGUAUAAUGGGUCAGCGACUUAUAUUCUGUAGCAAGGUUAACCGAAUAGGGGAGCCGAAGGGAAACCGAGUCUUAACUGGGCGUUAAGUUGCAGGGUAUAGACCCGAAACCCGGUGAUCUAGCCAUGGGCAGGUUGAAGGUUGGGUAACACUAACUGGAGGACCGAACCGACUAAUGUUGAAAAAUUAGCGGAUGACUUGUGGCUGGGGGUGAAAGGCCAAUCAAACCGGGAGAUAGCUGGUUCUCCCCGAAAGCUAUUUAGGUAGCGCCUCGUGAAUUCAUCUCCGGGGGUAGAGCACUGUUUCGGCAAGGGGGUCAUCCCGACUUACCAACCCGAUGCAAACUGCGAAUACCGGAGAAUGUUAUCACGGGAGACACACGGCGGGUGCUAACGUCCGUCGUGAAGAGGGAAACAACCCAGACCGCCAGCUAAGGUCCCAAAGUCAUGGUUAAGUGGGAAACGAUGUGGGAAGGCCCAGACAGCCAGGAUGUUGGCUUAGAAGCAGCCAUCAUUUAAAGAAAGCGUAAUAGCUCACUGGUCGAGUCGGCCUGCGCGGAAGAUGUAACGGGGCUAAACCAUGCACCGAAGCUGCGGCAGCGACGCUUAUGCGUUGUUGGGUAGGGGAGCGUUCUGUAAGCCUGCGAAGGUGUGCUGUGAGGCAUGCUGGAGGUAUCAGAAGUGCGAAUGCUGACAUAAGUAACGAUAAAGCGGGUGAAAAGCCCGCUCGCCGGAAGACCAAGGGUUCCUGUCCAACGUUAAUCGGGGCAGGGUGAGUCGACCCCUAAGGCGAGGCCGAAAGGCGUAGUCGAUGGGAAACAGGUUAAUAUUCCUGU